UAUUUAUAUAUAUCAACACGCUAAAACUUACCAGGUCUAGAAAUAGUAAGGAUUGAUAGAUUGAGAGUUAUUUCUUGAUUCUAUGGGUGGUGGUGCAUGGUCGUUCUUAGUUGGUGGAGCGAUUUUUCUAGUUAAUUAUGAUAACGAAUGAGACCUCAGCCUGCUAACUAGCUGUGCGGAGGUUCCCCUUCAUGGCCAACUUCUUAGAGGGACUAUGGCCAUUUAGGCCAUGGAAUUUUGAGGCAAUAACAGGUCUGUGAUGCCCUUAUAUGUUCUGGGCUGCACGCGCACUAC
rnacentral:ncRNA from 1 species